GGGAAUAACGGAACGCCAAAUAGGCAAUGAACCCUUCACGAGGAGGAGGUGGAUAGAACCCAGCAAAGUGGUAGAGUUUUACAAAAGCUGGCAUUACCUACAUCCUGGAUUUGCUGCUUUCUUGGAAAGGAAAACGAAGUCUCUGAGAUUUAGUUUCUUUGGAAGAGAAUUGUCUAUUUGGAAGUGUCUUAUAAUUUAAAAGGAGAGAAAACUGCCUAAUGGCACCCAUGUGAGUGCACUGCUCUGAAGUUGCUGAAGUAUGAAAUACAGCAUUUUCCUUGCCUGGUAGCCAUUCCAUCAAUUGUCUUAUAAUAAAAGAUAGCUACUUCCACGUAAACCUAAGGAAAGGAAUUGGCAGAGAGUCAAGGAAGAAGAGCUGAGCAGUGAAGUCUUAACUCCCUCAGCUAAUGUGUUUCUUUCUUCAAAACAUGAACUUCACUUCUUUCUAAUUGGUGUUUCUUUUCAUGGCUGGCACUCUCUGUGGCUUUUUGACUCACACAGAUUAUUAUGUGAGAAGAAGACAUACGUUUAAACUGUUGGAGUAAAGAAAGCAGUUUCCCCACACAGUUCUACACUUGACUCAAGAGAUGGAGACUGAAGAAGACAGUAUGAAGAAAACCAGAUGAAGGAACUUUAACCAAACAUCUGCCACACUACAAUGGAAUCUAUGUACAAUGUAGAAAAAGUCAUUUUAAAAGGCCAAAUUAUCAAGUGGACAGUAGAAAUGGACUGCAAAGAAGCAUGUGAAAUGUCAUCUCAAAGUGGAGAGAUUAUGAACUGCGAUUCCUCCAGGAACAUUGCUUGUUGGUCUGUGCAAAACUUCACAUGCACAAGUUUUCCACUGUGUUCAUCAUGAUUUCUGGCAUGGAUGCUUCAUCUAGUUUGAGUUGUUAUUAUGUAUGUGUCCAUAUAAAAUUUUUGGUUGUAUCGUGAGAAUAAAAUCAAAAUCCUUAGA
rnacentral:lncRNA from 1 species